rnacentral:rRNA from 1 species
GACGAACGCUGGCGGCGUGCUUAACACAUGCAAGUCGAACGAAGUGGCGAACGGGUGAGUAACGCGUAAUCAACCUGCCCUUCAGAGGGGGACAACAGUUGGAAACGCCUGCUAAUACCGCAUACUGACGGGGGGGUUUGCGUCUGGUUAGCUAGUUGGGGGGGUAACGGCCCACCAAGGCGAUGCUCAGUAGGCGGGCUGGGAGGAUGAACGGGCACAAUGGGGAUGAGACACGGCCCAGACUCCUACGGGAGGCAGCAGUGGGGAAUCUUCCGAAAUGGACGAAAGUCUGACGGAGCAACGCCGCGUGAGUGAUGACGGCCUUCGGGUUGUAAAGCUAUGUUAAUCGGGACGCGGUACCGGAAUAGAAAGCCACGGCUAACUACGUGCCAGCAGCCGCGGUAAUUC